rnacentral:lncRNA from 1 species
AGUGGUAUAAACAAGUUCACUUGCAAGUUUUUCCUGAGUGACCAAAACCUUGUACUAGGGUGUGAUGGUUACUGCAAAAUCUCUCUAGAAAUUUACUUUUGUACCUAACUUUUAAGUGCAUCCUCUUUCUUUUCUCUCUCUCUCUCUUUAUUUCCCCUUUUUUUGAGUUCCACUUCCCUACACUUGCGAAUUACUCUUGUGCCCAACCCUGGUUCU